GCUUAUUUGAUACAAGUGUGGGCAUGGCUAAGGAUUCCAGGAAUCGGCCCGGAUCCACCGAGGCUGCACCGUGGCCUCCUACUCGCGGCAAGGUAUGCACAUAAUUUAAAUAAUAAAUUUUGUUGCUAAUUUCAUUUCCUUAAAUUCAAACUUUACGGUUCAUUCAUUUUUUUAUAUAUUAAACAGAUGGAGGGACCCGGACCCGGAAAAACCAAUAAAGUGGGCAAAGAAGCAAAUCGAGUGGUGGCGCACCAAAUUAGACGAAUGUAAUGUUUCGCUUCAGAUGCAUGGACCUUCUCCGACCUUCGAAUAUGGCACCUUGGUCGCCAUGGACAACCCUACCAUCGUAAUACACAAAAGUAAAUAACUUGAUCCAUUGCAAAGGUUUUUUUCGUUACAGAAACGUUAUGAAAUGCAGGAGAUUGAAGUUUUGAAAAUAUUCAAGUGUAUUUUUCGUAGAAGAAAGUUAUGAGACUCAGGAGUUUCAAGUUAUGAACUUAUAGUGUUUUGAAUUCGCAAAAAAAAUUGAGAAUCCAGUCAAUCUCGCUUAUUUUGUCAUUUUGUAUAUCCUGGAUUCGCAAAAAAAAUUGAGAAUUCAAUAUUAGCCAUUCCUUUCCCUCCAUGUCAGUACUGCCACCUGAAAAGAACCUGAA
rnacentral:lncRNA from 1 species